rnacentral:sRNA from 1 species
UCAUUAAAGAAAUUUAAUAAUUUUGAAAAUGGAUUUUUUUGUUUUGGCAAGAGCAUGAGAGCUUUUACUGGGCAAGAAGACAAGAGAUGGAGAGUCCAGCCGGGCCUGCGCUUAAGUGCGCGGUCUUGCUAGGCCUGUAAGUUUCUUUCUUGCUAUUCCAAACGGUGAGAGAUUUCUGUGCUUUUGUUAUAGGACAAUUAAAACCGUUUCAAUACAACACACUGUGGAGUUUUCAUAUCUUUGCAACUUUUUCUUUGGGCAUUCGAGCAAUCGGGGCCCAGAGGUAACAAACACAAACAAUUUUAUUUAUUCAUUAAAUUUUUGUCAAAAACAAGAAUUUUCGUAACUGGAAAUUUUAAAAUAUUAAAAACUUUCAACAACGGAUCUCUUGGUUCUCGCAUCGAUGAAGAACGCAGCGAAAUGCGAUACGUAAUGUGAAUUGCAGAAUUCCGUGAAUCAUCGAAUCUUUGAACGCACAUUGCGCCCCUUGGUAUUCCAGGGGGCAUGCCUGUUUGAGCGUCAUUUCCUUCUCAAACAUUCUGUUUGGUAGUGAGUGAUACUCUUUGGAGUUAACUUGAAAUUGCUGGCCUUUUCAUUGGAUGUUUUUUUUCCAAAGAGAGGUUUCUCUGCGUGCUUGAGGUAUAAUGCAAGUACGGUCGUUUUAGGUUUUACCAACUGCGGCUAAUCUUUUUUAUACUGAGCGUAUUGGAACGUUAUCGAUAAGAAGAGAGCGUCUAGGCGAACAAUGUUCUUAAAGUUUGACCUCAAAUCAGGUAGGAGUACCCGCUGAACUUAA